UCGAGAAUUUUUCACAAUGGGCGAAAGCCUGAUGGAGCGACGCCGCGUGGGGGAUGAAGGGCUUCGGCUCGUAAACCCCUGUCAUUUGCGAACAAAGGCGCCAACCUAACACGUUGUCGUCUGAUAGUAGCAGAAGAGGAAGGGACGGCUAACUCUGUGCCAGCAGCCGCGGUAAUACAGAGGUCCCAAGCGUUGUUCGGAUUCACUGGGCGUAAAGGGUGCGUAGGUGGUGAAUUAAGUCGGGUGUGAAAUCUCCGGGCUCAACCCGGAGCGUGCGCCCGAAACUGAUUUGCUAGAGGAUAGGAGGGGAGACUGGAAUUCUCGGUGUAGCAGUGAAAUGCGUAGAUAUCGAGAGGAACACCGGUGGCGAAGGCGAGUCUCUGGACUAUUCCUGACACUGAAUCACGAAAGCCGGGGGAGCAAACAGG
rnacentral:rRNA from 1 species